rnacentral:rRNA from 1 species
CGAAAGCCUGACGGAGCAAUACCGCGUGAGGGAUGACUGCCUAUGGGUUGUAAACCUCUUUUUUCAGGGAGGAAUAAAUGACGUGUACCUGAAGAAUAAGCAUCGGCUAACUCCGUGCCAGCAGCCGCGGUAAGACGGAGGAUGCAAGUGUUAUCCGGAAUCACUGGGCGUAAAGCGUCUGUAGGUGGCUUAAUAAGUCAACUGUUAAAUCUUGAGGCCCAACCUCAAAAUCGCAGUCGAAACUAUUAGACUAGAGUAUAGUAGGGGUAAAGGGAAUUUCCAGUGGAGCGGUGAAAUGCGUAGAGAUUGGAAAGAACACCGAUGGCGAAGGCACUUUACUGGGCCAUAACUGACACUGAGGGACGAAAGCUAGGGUAGCG